UAGGGAAUCUUCGGCAAUGGACGAAAGUCUGACCGAGCAACGCCGCGUGAGUGAAGAAGGUUUUCGGAUCGUAAAACUCUGUUGUUAGAGAAGAACAAGGACGUUAGUAACUGAACGUCCCCUGACGGUAUCUAACCAGAAAGCCACGGCUAACUACGUGCCAGCAGCCGCGGUAAUACGUAGGUGGCAAGCGUUGUCCGGAUUUAUUGGGCGUAAAGCGAGCGCAGGCGGUUUCUUAAGUCGGAUGUGAAAGCCCCCGGCUCAACCGGGGAGGGUCAUUGGAAACUGGGAGACUUGAGUGCAGAAGAGGAGAGUGAAAUUCCAUGUGUAGCGGUGAAAUGCGUAGAUAUAUGGAGGAACACCAGUGGCGAAGGCGGCUCUCUGGUCUGUAACUGACGCUGAGGCUCGAAAGCGUGGGGAGCAAACAGG
rnacentral:rRNA from 1 species